AGUGAACGCUGGCGGUAGGCCUAACACAUGCAAGUCGAACGGCAGCACAGUAAGAGCUUGCUCUUACGGGUGGCGAGUGGCGGACGGGUGAGGAAUACAUCGGAAUCUACUUUUUCGUGGGGGAUAACGUAGGGAAACUUACGCUAAUACCGCAUACGACCUACGGGUGAAAGCAGGGGAUCUUCGGACCUUGCGCGAUUGAAUGAGCCGAUUUCGGAUUAGCUAGUUGGCGGGGUAAAGGCCCACCAAGGCGACGAUCCGUAGCUGGUCUGAGAGGAUGAUCAGCCACACUGGAACUGAGACACGGUCCAGACUCCUACGGGAGGCAGCAGUGGGGAAUAUUGGACAAUGGGCGCAAGCCUGAUCCAGCCAUACCGCGUGGGUGAAGAAGGCCUUCGGGUUGUAAAGCCCUUUUGUUGGGAAAGAAAAGCAGCAGGUUAAUACCCCGCUGUUCUGACGGUACCAAAAGAAUAAGCACCGGCUAACUUCGUG
rnacentral:rRNA from 1 species